GGAUAAACCGAAAAGUUAUUUAAAAUAUAAAUUAUUUCCCGGCCUCACUCACCAAAUGCAUUUAUGCUACAAUAUUUUUACUAUUUAAAGCAGUUUUGCUAUCUCCAUUAUUCUACUAUUUUUCUCUGAACUGAGCUCACUCACCGCAGUUUCAGUGACGAUCGGCUACCGGAAAAAUGCACUCGACGAACUUGCUUCUCGAAGAACCGAUUCGAAUGGCUUCGAUUCUCGAGCCAUCAAAGCCUACGUUUUUUCCAGCAAUGACGAAGAUUGUUGGCACGCUGGGUCCAAAAUCACGUUCGGUGGAGAUUAUCUCUAGUUGCCUUGAAUCGGGAAUGUCUGUGGCACGAUUUGACUUUUCAUGGGGAGAUGCCGAAUUUCACCAAGAGACAUUGGAAAAUCUAAGGGCAGCCGUCAAAAAAUCAAAGAAGCUCUGUGCGGUUAUGCUAGACACUGGUGGUCCUGAACUACAAGUUGUCAAUAAGAGCGAACACCCAAUUUCACUCCAAGCAGAUUCCUUAGUUGUCCUGACACCUGAUCAAGAUAAAGAGGCUACACCAAAUCUACUGCCAAUAAAUUUUAGUGGCCUAUCAAAGUCAGUGAAGAAAGGAGACACUAUUUUCAUUGGUCAGUACUUGUUCACGGGAAGUGAGACUACCUCUGUGUGGCUAGAGGUAACAGAGGUGAAAGGAGAGGAUGUCGUUUGCUUGAUUAAAAAUUCUGCCACCUUGGCCGGACCAUUGUACACAUUACAUGUCUCCCAGAUCCGUAUUGAGUUGCCAACUCUGACGGACAAAGAUAAGAAGGUUAUAAGCACUUGGGCCUUUCGAAACAAAAUAGAUAUCCUUUCACUGUCAUAUACACGAAAUGCUGAAGAUGUUCGACAUGCUCGUGAAUUUCUAUCUAAGCUGGGUGAUCUUGAUCAAACACAGAUUUUUGCUAAGAUAGAAAAUGUGGAGGGAAUGGGCAACUUUGAUGAGAUUCUCGAAGAAGCUGAUGGCAUCAUUCUCUCUCGUGGAAAUUUAGGGAUAGAUCUACCACCUGAGAAGGUGUUCCUAUUUCAAAAGGCAGCUGUUCACAGGUGCAAUAUGGCUGGUAAACCUGCUGUGGUCACUCGUGUUGUGGACAGUAUGACUGAUAACUUGCGACCCACUCGUGCUGAGGCAACAGAUGUUGCCAAUGCAGUAUUGGAUGGUAGUGAUGCAAUUCUUCUAGGUGCAGAGACCCUGAGAGGUCUAUAUCCUGUUGAGACUAUUUCCACUGUUGGUAAAAUUUGUGCAGAGGCAGAAAAGGUUUAUAAUCAAGAUGUCUAUUUUAAGAGGGCUGUUAAGUGUGUGGGAGAACCAAUGACUCACUUGGAAUCUAUUGCUUCCUCAGCGGUACGCGCUGCCAUCAAGGUCAAGGCAUCUGUUAUUAUCUGCUUCACUUCUUCAGGGAGAGCUGCGAGAUUGAUAGCUAAGUAUAGGCCACCGAUGCCAGUUUUAUCUGUUGUCAUUCCUCGUCUCAAGACAAACCAACUGCGCUGGACAUUCAGUGGUGCAUUUCAGGCUAGGCAGUCUCUUAUUGUUAGAGGAAUUUUCCCCAUCCUUGCAGAUCCAAGACAUCCGGCUGAGUCCGCAAAUGCAACUGAUGAGUCGAUAUUGAAGGUUGCACUAGACCAUGGGAAAACAGCUGGUGUUAUAAAACCACAUGACCGAGUUGUUGUUUUCCAGAAAGUUGGUGACGCAUCUGUGGUGAAGAUCAUUGAGCUUGAAAAUUAGGCUAGUACAUCUUUGUAUGUUUCACUCAGAGCAUUCUCAAGUUAACAGAAUGCAUGAAAACCAUCUAAUGGAGCUAUAAAACCAGGUUGAUCCAUGGCUGUAAUAAUUGCUCCGGACCGAUGUAAAUCCUCUGCUGUGAAGGGUGUCAACCUACUUUGCUUCACUAUUUUUGUGUAUCAAAUAGUAUUAUAUAUAUCUUCAGGUAAAUAAGUAGUUAUAAUUGCUAUCUUAUGAAUGGAGUAGUGAUAUAUAAGAACCUUCUUUUCUUGAUGAUAACAAACUCUUCAUAGGAAGAUUGUCAAACAUUUGUUCUAGGAGAGUGAAAUCAUCAAGAAUUCAAGAUUAAUUCAAGAGUAAACCUUCUAUUAGUGAAGUCGUAUACCUUUAGGGGUUGUUUGGUUGGAAA